rnacentral:lncRNA from 1 species
CGAUUAUAUAUAAAAAGAAAAAAACAAAAAACUUAAAACCCUUGAAAGCACAAGAAAGCAGACUAAGGGCCGAGCCUCAUUAAAACCUUCCUACGAAAACCCAAAGGGAAAAAUCAUAAGAAGGAAAAAGAGUACCCGUCUAGACGACCAAAGAAACGACAAGAGAAGGAAGAGCGGAAGGGAAAGUUUCAGGAACUCCGGCCUAACCAUCGUCC